rnacentral:rRNA from 1 species
UACAGAGGUCUCGAGCGUUGUUCGGAUUCAUUGGGCGUAAAGGGCGCGUAGGCGGCGGGGUAAGUCUGGUGUGAAAUCUAGGAGCUCAACUCCUAAACUGCACUGGAUACUGCUCUGCUAGAGGACUGGAGAGGAGACUGGAAUUCACGGUGUAGCAGUGAAAUGCGUAGAUAUCGGGAGGAACACCAGUGGCGAAGGCGACUACCUGGCCUGUUCUUGACGCUGAGGCGCGAAAGCUAGGGGAGCAAACGGGG